rnacentral:misc_RNA from 1 species
UGUCUGAUGGUGCAAAACCAGAGCAAUGCAUAGCUGCAACAGUGGCAAGAAAAGGGCAUCUCUUCAUAUACUCCAUCGACGGAAAGCGGUUUAUGAUACCGCUCAGAUACCUAACCAGCAGUAUCUUUAUAGAACUAUUCAGAUUGUCCGAAGAGGAGUUUGGGUUGCCAUGCGACGGGCCGAUCACAUUGCCUUGUGAUGCA